AGCAGCCAUUUUACACCAGGAACGCCCGCUGCCAGGCCUCUGCACUCGGCUCCCUGUCAGCAAGUGAAACCGGAAGAACAAAGGAAAAGAGAAAAGCAGAACUGCCAACCCCAGGAGAUGUGUGAACCUUCAUCAUCCUACCUUUAAACUUCCUCUUCAGGGACAGUCUCCUGACACAACCUUCAUAGAUCCGGCGAUGCCCAGCUGUGGGGCCUAUAAAUACCAGAUUUCAUUGCUGACACAAUUGCCCGUAUGUGGACAGAAUUUCAAGCCUUCUCAUUUUAGCUUUAUUUUAGCUUUCUCUUCCUGCUUUGGCAAGCCUGUUCAAGCAAGUACACAGAACCAUGAAGACAGGUACCGCUUUAACCUAAGAGUCUUCUUGUGCCUGUCUUUCCUUGAGUGGUACAAAUAUGCUCUCUUCUCAGAAAUAUCGAUCAGGCAUUUCUGCUCACUCAGCCUGAGCCAAAGACUUAAGUGCGAG
ensembl:lncRNA